UACGGAGGAUGCAAGCGUUAUCCGGAAUGAUUGGGCGUAAAGCGUCCGCAGGUGGCAAUGUAAGUCUGCUGUUAAAGAGUCUAGCUCAACUAGAUAAAAGCAGUGGAAACUACAUAGCUAGAGUACGUUCGGGGCAGAGGGAAUUCCUGGUGUAGCGGUGAAAUGCGUAGAUAUCUGGAGGAACACCGGUGGCGAAGGCGGCGUCCUGGACCAACACUGACACUGAUGAGCGAAAGCCAGGGAGCAAACGGG
rnacentral:rRNA from 1 species